UGGGGGUCUUUGUUACCCCUUUUUAUUUGUUAAGUAUUUUCUUUAAAGUGCUAUUAGAUUUCUUUAUUAUUGCUUGUUCUAUAGGAUUUUUGGUAUACACAUAAUAUGCUUUAUAUUAUAAUAUGCAAAAUUGUUUUAUUUUACUAGAGACAUAUGCUGAAGUGCUGUCAGUCUUACUUUCUACAGAUGUUUCCAUAAUUGCUGUAACAUCUAAUAAGAACUAAAAGCAGUUGCCCAUUGAAAUCCUGAAUAUGUGUCUAUGAGGCCUGGUAGACCUGUAUGGGAUCUGAUACGUGUUAUAUACAAUAGGAGCUGUUUGUAAUCCCCAGCAAGGCAAAAUUCUCUUUACUUCAUCAAACAUUUUUCCUAAAGCAUUUGUAUCUGACUCAGCCAGUAAGAUAUCAUCCAUAUACUGGUAAAUUGUGGAUUGAGUAAAGUGUUUACAAACUAUUUCUAAUGGCUGUCACAGAAAAUAUUGACAGAAAGUGGAACUAUUUAACACUCAUUGUGGCAAGACCCUGCACUGGUAUCUCUUAGUUGGUCUUUCAUGAUUCAAUGUGGGCACAGUGAAAGCAGAACUUUCUCUGUCUUAUUUCUCAA